ACAGCCAUAUCAUGUUAAAACACCAGUUCUCGUAAGCUCACUGAAGUUAAGCAAUCUUGAGCCUAGUCAAUACUUAAAUGAGUGCCCACUUGGGAAUAUCAGAUGCUGUAAG